rnacentral:rRNA from 1 species
AAAUAGAACUUUGCAGAGAGAGUUAAGAGGGCGUGAACCGUUAAUUGGCGAACGAAUCGGAGCCACGAAGUCGUUUCGCUGAUGAGCCGGGGCUCAUUUCAUCUAGACACAAAAGUGUCAAGUGUAUUCUUGGUUUGGCCAUCUUUGUAAGCGUACACUGCAACCAGUUAGACAAUUGGCCAUGGGCCCAGUUGCUUGGUGUUGGGCCUCAAAAUCCGACCCAGGUAACGCAUCAUUUGUUUGUUGCUAGUAGUAGUAGUGCGUGUGUCCUUGUGGCGCUCGUAUUGCUGGCUAGCGGCAAGUGAACUAUGGCCAAAUACUGACUGGCAAAAUGAAAAUCGCCCCCGCGGCGUUAGCAGAGAAUGCAGUUGUUUGCAUUUGGGUACACGUGUGUGGCCAUUGGGUUUAAGUUCGGCAUCUUUGAAUUUGGACUGGCUAGCUACCAGUGGGGCAACCCCUGGUGCUAGUUUAGCUUUCAUCUAAUCGGGUGUUGACUUGAUCUAGUGUCGUCCGCAUACGCAACGCUGUGCCUAAAUGUAAGAUAAUUUGCAAUCACAUUGGCAGUGAGUAGGUCGGCUUUCCGAACGACCCGUCUUGAAACACGGACCAAGGAGUCUAAUUAGGCAUCGAGUCGAUCGGUCUUGUUUAGGCCAGAAUUAAUGCGUGUACCUUGUUGUAUACGAACGAAGGCGUAGAGAAAUCAAAUUUCAUGUGAUUCUCAUGGCAUAUACCCAUGCUUGAGACGCAACAUGUGCCUGCUCGUGUGCCAUUGUUGAAAAACAUGGUGAGCGGAGUAAAGAGAUACUUGAUUGGUACCCGAAAGAUGGUGAACUAUGCUUGGGCAAAUUGAAGCCAGAGGAAACUCUGGUGGAGGAUUGUAGCGAUUCUGACGUGCAAAUCGAUCGUCAGACCUGAGUAUAGGGGCGAAAGACUAAUCGAACCAUC